rnacentral:tRNA from 1 species
GGGCACUUAGCUCAGUGGUAGAGCGUUGCAUUCACAUUGCAAAGGCCAUAGGUUCAAUCCCUAUAGUGCCCA